rnacentral:rRNA from 1 species
AAAGAUUGGGAUAACUCUUCGAAAGGAGGGCUAAUACCAAAUAUUUUAUAAUCUUCCAUGAAGAUUAUAACAAAGGUAGCCGCAAGGCUUCCGCUUUAAGAUGAGUCCGCGUCCUAUUAGCUUGUUGGUGGGGUAACAGCCUACCAAGGCUAUGAUGGGUAGCCGGUCUGAGAGGACGGACGGCCACACUGGGACUAAGAUACGGCCCAGACUCCUACGGGAGGCAGCAGUAGGGAAUAUUGCGCAAUGGGCGAAAGCCUGACGCAGCGACACCGUGUGUAGGAUGAAAAUCUUCGGAUUGUAAACUACUGUCAGUUGAAGACGAAGGCAGUAGAGUUAAGAGCUCGAAUGUUGACGGUAUUCAAUUAGGAAGUCUCGGCUAACUCCGUGCCAGCAGCCGCGGUAAGACGGAGGAGGCUAGCAUUGUCCGGAAUUAUUGGGCGUAAAGAACACGUAGGCGGUUUGUCAAGUCAUUUGUGAAAACCUUAGGCUUAACUUAAGGAUUGCAGAUGAUACUGGUAAACUAGAGUACAGCAGAGGAAAGCGGAAUUCCUGGUGUAGCGGUGAAAUGCGCAGAUAUCAGGAAGAACAUCAGUGGCGAAAGCGGCUUUCUGGACUGUUACUGACGCUGAGGUGUGAAAGCUAGGGGAGCGAACAGGAUUAGAUACCCUGGUAGUCCUAGCCGUAAACGAUGGACACUAGGUGUGGGGAGUUAUCGACGCUCUCUGUGCCGAAGCUAACGCAUUAAGUGUCCCGCCUGGGGAGUACGGUCGCAAGACUAAAACUCAAAGGAAUUGACGGAAGGGCGAAUUCGUU